UACUCAUUCCUCUGUCUUGGGCU
rnacentral:miRNA from 1 species